rnacentral:lncRNA from 1 species
UGGUCUCAGAAUCUAUUUGAAAGACUAAUGUUCUUUGAGGAAAAUGACCUUGACAUUUAACUUUAGACUGUGCUGUUUGUUCAGCUUUAUUGACUUAGUGUCUAUUUUCCUUGAUUUAAAUCAUUAAAACUUUAAUAUGAAAAACAAGUCAUAAGAGAUCACUGUCUUAUAUAAAAGACCAUCAACUUAGCCGAGCACUGAGUCUACUGUCUACUUGAGACCUCUGCUUUCCAUAAAUUGGAUCUUCCACUUACCACAAUGACCUUCAUGGUUCUCCUUGUGAUGGGCGUGUGCAGCCUCAUGGUUUCAAGCCAGGAUCAUCCUACCCUCACCUCCAUGAGUGACACUGAUUUGCACCGUGUGGUUCCCGAGGAAAUUUUUAUUCAACCACCAGCAGCAAUACUAUCUCUCCCAGGACCUAUUCUUUCCCUUUGGAAGCCUCUUGUGAAUAAAACUGCUACCAGACCAUGAAUAAAUCAACAUUUCAAUACUAUGUCCUCCUGGAUCUCCUCUUUCUCUUCAGCUCUUCUUUUUUCCCUUAAAUUCCUCCCCAAAUUGUUAUACAGGUGGAUACUUCCCUUUCCACCCCCCUCAUCAAGUCUCUGAAAUAAACUGACAAUAAAUCAUGAUCAGCAGAUGACUUUGAUGUUCAAAAUUCAUUAUGACUCACAAGAGCAUCACAUGGGGGAAAGUAAUUACACAAAAGCCAGGUAUAAGCUAAAUGUCUGUAUAUCCUCUUCCUAAGAUAGAGGGGAGGGGGUGACAGCCAGCAAGGGCUAUCCUCCUGUGCAGAUGAAGUCUCCCAGUGACAGCCAUCUGUGGCCAUCUCCAUGUGAGUCAGGUUUCAGAUCCCCAGUCUCCUCCUAGGAAAAGAUCUUUCCUAGCAGAAGGGGAGUUGUCAGCUAGAAAAAGCCUCUGCCUGAAUCCACUGUUCACUAAGAUCAACGAAAUUUUUUUCACACCAGGACAGCUGUUCAGAGCUGUUUCUGUGUCUGCCUUGCUCUGCAGGUUCCCUGAAUAACCAACUGCACAUGUGCCAAAGAAAUGUAUUUGGGGAGGUAUUUUUACUCUUCCACACACUUAAACAGCCCUUUAUGAAAAGUAUAACUCAAAACAUCUUCAUUGCAUAGAAAUGUAUAUAGGCAAAAGGCAGGUUCUCUUUACAGACAAUAAUAGUUUGCUCAGUUGUUAGUAUCCUUCA